GGUCGUGCAGCCUCGG
rnacentral:misc_RNA from 1 species